ensembl:ncRNA M05B5.10 ncRNA
AGAGGGAGAAGCUUCAGAAGAAAAAGGGAAUAAAUAGAAUAAGAGAGGUGAGAGAGCACUAGGAUGAGCACAGCUCAGAAGCCUCUUAUUCUGAAUGCAUGAGAGGCUUCAAGCCGACUAAAGGAAUUACAAGCGAAGGAAGAGAGGUG